GAAUUGGCUGAUAGUUUUCUUUGGAUUGUAUGUAGACAAAUUAGAAUGCCCAUUUAAAAGUACUAUUUGCAGCCAACAUAAAUUCUGUAUCAUUAUGGUUGAAGCAUGAGCUAAAUCCAGGAUUUUGUUUCGAAUCUGAGACAAAAGUACCCAAUCCCUUUUAUAAUUGUACCCAGAAACAAGACCGGGGAAGUUCUGAGGGAGCUGAGGCAUCACGCCAAUACAGGACGAUUCUAUGCUCACUUGUCCACAGAGGUCCGAUUCACCAAGGCUGAUGACAUCAUGAUCAGUCCAGCCAAUGGGAGAGAGACCUGCUACAUCAACAUCAUUCAUUUUAAACCUUAUGGAAGACCAACAUUCAACAAGAAAUACUGGGAUGUGUAUGAGGACAUUGUAAAGAGAGCAGGCGGUCGACCACAUUGGGCUAAGGAACACCCUAUGAGGAACAAGGAUUUAUCAGAGCUCUAUCCAAGAUGGUCUGAGUUCUGUGGUCUGCGUAAGAAGCUGGA